rnacentral:misc_RNA from 1 species
GUUGGUGAACCAGCGGAGGGAUCAUUACCGAGUUUACAACUCCCAAACCCAUGUGAACAUACCUAUCGUUGCUUCGGCGGGAUCGCCCCGGGCGCCUUGUGUGCCCCGGAUCCAGGCACCCGCCGGGGGACUUCAACUCUUGUUUUUUUUUUUAGAAUCUUCUGAGUCGUUUUUACAAAUAAAUAAAAACUUUCAACAACGGAUCUCUUGGUUCUG